UCCCUCUUAGCUCAGUUGGUAGAGCGCGUCACUAGUAUUUGGUCAACAUCCACCAUCAUGACGAGGUCAGUCGUUCAAAUCGGCUAGCGGGAA